rnacentral:rRNA from 1 species
UUGUCGUCAGCUCGUGUCGUGAGAUGUUGGGUUAAGUCCGCAACGAGCGCAACCCUAUUGUUAGUUGCCAUCAUUCAGUUGGGCACUCUAGCGAGACUGCCGGCUAAAAGUCGGAGGAAGGUGGGGGAGUGACGUCAAAUCAUCAUGCCCCUUAUGACCUGGGCUACACACGUGCUACAAUGGGCGGUACAAAGGGUCGCGAACCCGCGAGGGGGAGCCAAUCCCAAAAAGCCGCUCUCAGUUCGGAUUGCAGGCUGCAACUCGCCUGCAUGAAGCCGGAAUCGCUAGUAAUCGCGGAUCAGCACGCCGCGGUGAAUACGUUCCCGGGCCUU